rnacentral:misc_RNA from 1 species
CUAGGUAUAUUAUUAUAAGAAAAAUUUACACUCGUAUAUUUACAAGCCCCAAUUGCUCGACUUUCGAAAACAAUAUUAAAAAAAAAGGCUGAAAAAUCUUAAAUCAUACACCCAAAAAAUUGAAAACAAAAUUAAAACGAGGGAUAACUGUAGUUACCGCGCUUAAGAGGAUACCGUUAUUUCAACGUGCCACGUCAUCCCAACAACCAUUUAAACGUGAGCGGGCCCCAUGUAUUCCCAAUCACGAAGGCAAACAGAUUUUCUCUCCUCUUAGCUUUCCCCCGCCACACGAAAUAGUUCGUCGACGACUCAGUCUAUCCACGACUCCGAUUUCCUGCCUGACGCAAACCGCUUCAUUCCACCCAAACCAAUCGGUUCAGCCCCCACCGCCGGUUCAUAGCCGUCACUUCCUACGCUCGUUCUUGGCGGCGCAUCUCUCUCGACCGGUGGUAGCCGGUCCCUGAUGUCAAUCUUCUUCUUCGUCGAGCUCUUUCUUGACAGAGAUCCUCUUUGUGAUGCAUCUUUUCCACUCUUGACCUUUUGCUUCCUAGUUGCACUGAAUAUGGCCCGAAAACUGGCAAAGAAUCCCCCCUUUUGCUUCCUUUCCGGUUUUUCCCUUUUAGUCUCGGUUUCGUUAGAUCGUUGCCGAUUCCUUAGUCUCCGAUUUCGAUCUUUCUUUGAUCUCACUCUUCCCAUACAAGAGACCUUAGGCGAAGACGGCUCAAUCAAAGACGAAUCUGAUUUACUGGUGGAAGCAGACCGUUUGGGAAACAACCGCGUGUUUCCUGGUUUACAGUGGCGCCUAGCAUCCACGAAGCAAGACUUCUGUGGCUUUGGCAAACCAAUAAUGGAGGCUUUGGAUUUCAAGUUAGAAAAUCUCUGAGAAUUUGACUGGUGGUUAACAUUGGGAUUCAAGUUCGUGGAAUGAGAGUUUACUUUGGUGGAGUCCUUGCGCUCAAUGAAUGCGUUGCGAUCGAACCAGUCGAAUUCGGCGUCCUUGGAAAGCCAAAAAGAUUCAGGCGGGAAAUCCGGCGGGAUUUCUGGUGGAUCAGUCUCAGAUUCUUGAGGCUGGUGGUGUUGAUCGUCGUUGUUGUUGGUGGAGGUGUUGGUAUCGGCCAAGGUCUCACAGGCGAUUUUGCGGUCGCAAGAGACGCCGGCGCAGGCUGAAACUAGAGUUUCGAGAUCCACUUGUGGCAUCGUCCGUAGAGAGAGGAAGAUAGAAACUGAGAGAGAGAGAGAGUUAGGAGAAAACUGAGGCGGAUGAGAUAAAGAUAGGAAGAUUUAUAGGAGACAAGAAGUGUGGUUUUGGAGUUUGGACAAGAAGUUCCAACUUGCUGACUCUUGCUGGAUGGUGGUUUUGGUUUCGAAUUUCGUGUGAGAAUACUGCUUUUUACUUCCUCCUUCUUCCUGCUUAUC